GAGCCCGCAGCCCCGGACAUUGCGGCCGCAGCGGCUGGAGGGAGCUGUCAGUAGUGGCUCACGUGGAGAAGGUGCAACACUGAGGAAUCCACUUGUAGAUAAUGACUGCUGCCUCCUCAUGUGUCAUACAGGACAUGGUGCUCCUUUGGUGCCAGAUUCAGCAUGGACUUCCCUCUGGAAUCUGCGAGAGGUGUCACAGUGGAAAAUCACAGCAAGCCCUCUAACUAACAAGGUUAAGGGCUCAUGACUGCUUCACACUCCUGAAACCUUGUUUGAAGAUUUUACUUGUAACUAACAGUCUUUUAAAAGAUUUUCAAGAAAGUUAUGCCAUGACAGGAAGGUUCAACAAAAAAGGUACUGUAUUUCCAUCAUAAUGUGCCACCUGACAGCUGAAAAUGUCACUGUAUUUUUAAAACACAGAUAUGUGCAGAAUAAGCACUCACUUGGAUAGUCUUUAUGAGGAGGUAAAAUUCUUUUCAAUUGUAUUAAUUUUUUCUUGACUUUUACAGAAAUGUUUUAUAUAUUUUAUCGCAACUGUUUACUCAUCUCAAAGCAACAACAUUCUAGAACACAGAGUGCAUCAGCAUGGCAAGAUUUACUGCCUGGAGAAACGAAUUUUGUAAAUA